GACUCCUGAGUAGGAUGGGGAUUUGGAGAAUUUUUAUAUCUAGCUGGAGGAUUGUCUGUGCACCAAUCAGCACUCCUUAUCUAGCUAAUCUGGUGGGGACUUGGAGAACUUUUAUGUCUAGCUAGAGGAUCGUAAAUGCACCAAUCAGCACCCUGUCAAAACGGUCCAAUCAGCGCUCUGUAAAGUGGACCAAUCAGCUCUCUGUAAGAUGGACCAAUCAGCAGGACGUGGGUGGAGCCAGAUAAGGGAAUAAAAGUAGGCUGCCUGCGCCACCAACGGGAACAGUCUCGGGUACCCUUUGCUGUGUUAGAGGCUUUGUUCUUUAGCUCUUUGUGAUAAGUCUUGUUGCUUCUAGCUGUUUGGGUGAUGCUGCCUUUAAGAGCUGUAACACUCACUGUGAAAGUCUACAGCUUCACUUCUGAAGCUAACAAUACCAUGAACCCACCGGAAGGAAGAAGCUCCAGACACACCUGAAUGAAGGAACAAACUGCGGACAUACCAUGUUUAAGAACUGUAACACUCACUGCGAGGGUCUGUGGCAUCAUUUUUGAAGUCAGCAAGACCAAGAGCCCACCAAUUCCAGACAAAGUAAUACUUAUGUAAUACUUAAGGUAUCUCUGUCUGAGAAGCGUGUAUCGCAGAUGUUAACAGUCCUAAAUCAAAUGUAACUUCCACUGCAAAUGGUCCCUCAGGGAAAGCGUCUGUUAAUUCAACUUUUUAAAGGCCCUAAACUUCCCGAACUGUAAAGGACUGCUUUAGAUUUAUACCCAACAAGAUCCUACCAUGAAAUUCCCCUAGUAUUUUAAAAUACCACUCAAAUGUUUCUCAUCCAGUUAAUGUAGCUUAAUUAUUUAAAGCAAGGAACUGAAAAUGCCUAGAUGGGUCAGCACAAUCCCAUAAACAUAGAAGUUUGGUCCUGGCCUUUUUACGAAUUCUUAGUAAAGUUACAGGUGCAAGCAUCCCCGCCCCAGUGAGAAUGCUCUCUAGAUCACCUGGAUCAAAAGGAGCAGGCAUCAAGCACGCGUAAACACCGUUCAAAACACUUUGCUCAGCCACACUCCCACGGGAAACAGCAGUGAUAAAUUAUGCUACAUAAACUGAAGUGGAACUCUGACUGCCUUGAGAGCUCAACAAAAUGCAUCCCACCAUCCAUUGCUGCUGCAUCAGGGUAUUAAAAAGAGAGACAGAAGGAAGAGGCGAGAGCAGCACAAGUUCAACAGUGUGAGGGACUCGGACACAAUGGGAGGGACAAAGAAAGAAAUGUCUGAAUGUCAUUGAAAGAACAGACAAUGAAGGCAUAUGUAAGAGGCCUGCUAAAGCUUCGGGACCUCAGAAGCCUAUUUGUAAGAACUACAGUUUAGAAUAGGGAACUUGCAAUAGAAUGCCUGACCUUUAUUUCCCUACCUGUCUCGAACUUGUCAAAACCUUUGAUUUUUCUAUGAACAUGAAUUACUGCUACAAUAUUCAGUUGAACUACAUACGUUUCUCAAAGCAGUAAUACAAUGCUACAGCAUAGCUUAACAUUGUUUAAGUAAUAUGGUUUGCUUAUAUUUAAGUCAUUUCUAAGGAACCCAUGCAAACACAGUCAGGAGGUCUAUUUCUGAUGUAUUUCCAAGGCUAAAACCAAAAAAUGUUGUUAAUGCAUAAACAGUCAAAAAAAAUCAUGCAUGUGGUUUUACUUCUAUUUCUAAAGAUGAUUGUUGCAUGAGUGCCUCUGCCUUUAUGGAGGGAAAUGUGUAGAUUUUUAACUAGCUCUGUAUUAUAAUGUUUGUGUUUUGAAAAAAAAAAUCAAGUUUCUGCACUAAAAAAUAAAUUCCUAGUCAAAUCUUUAAAAUUAA